GCCAGAUUGUUGUAGUACCUUGUGUGUCUCACUCUCCAGCAUUAUCCCUAGUGUUUGUUUCCCAGUGUUUUUGUAGACCUCUAGCUUGCAUUUUUGACCAUGUAUUUCUAAAUACACAAGGAUAUUUAAAAGGGCAUAAAAGAAGGAAAUAGAUUAAAAUACAUUUAGCCUCAUAGUAAUACAUUUUACAAAAUAGACAACAUCUGAAAAUGCUAAAAACGUCAGAAAAGCAGUAAAAAAACAAAGUGUCGGGAGGGUUUCUAUGGCGAUUUAGUACUACGAAGAUUUAAAGAUUAAAAGCUUUCUUCAAAAGAGUCAGAGAUCAGUUGAUGCGACGGAGGUGCGAGGGAAAGCUAAAGGAACUCCUAGGCAAAGAAAAACUAAAGAGACACUCUCCAAAGAUGACGAAGAGAGAGUGGAAGCCCUUCAAAGACAAAGGCUUUCAAAUCUGCAAGCAGUCGCAAGUAAUCUCCCCCUGGCAUUCGUCACAGUGCCACUGAGUGUAAAAGCACGAAAGGCAGAGCUUGAAUUUCCAGGCUCGACCCAUUGAUAGAGACCCUCAAGCAGGCCGCCAGGUUCUCUCCUUGCAGCCUGUUACGAAGAUCUGAUUUGACCUCAAAAUUUAGGAUUGCCGCAUUGAUCAUGCUAUAGGUGUCUGCAAGAAGCUGGUGAGCCACUUCUCUCACAGCUGGAAGGUCAGAGAUGCAAUUGCAAAAGCCCAGAAGGAACUCAAUCUACCUAUAUCUAAAUCUAUCACAUUUCCUCAUAUCAGAAUGCCAAACAAGAUGAUGAUGAUCAGCAAGAUAUUAGAGCAGCAGCAGGCUUUAACUCAGGUCCCGUCUGCGAACAAGAAGCUGCGGCAUCUAAUUCCAACCUGGCAAAAUACGGAUGUCUUGGAAUUUGUCAGCAAGUCACUGGGCCCAAUGCUGGAUUUCACUGAUGCACUUUCAGGGGGACACAGACCUGAACAAGAAUAUAAAGAAGAUGAUGCUGGACUACCUCAACGAGAAAUACUCACGAGGAUACUCAGAAGCUGCUAGAUAUGGACCACCCGUUCAAGAUGGACUUCAUCAGUAGAAGCCCCCAAGUUGAGACCAGAGUGGCAUCACAGAUGAUGGAAUGCCAGGAGACAUCAAGCUGCAGCACUGAAGUGGUGCCCAACGCACCCCAGGCAAGGAAAGCCAAGAAGUCCUUGGGAAGCUUCUUUAAACAGAGUGAAACUGUAGCAAAGGGUGAUUCCUCUCUGACCUUAAAGGAUAUUGCAGAAGCAAAGUUAAACACCUACAUGCUAUCACCUUCAAUAGCCAAAGAGAAGGAUCAAUUUGCAUGGUGGAAAGCACACAAAAUAAGCCUUCGUUGAGUCGCAACAAGCUCGCUGUUGGAGAGCCUUUUUAUCUAGUGGCAACACUGUCACUUGUCAACGCACCUGUCUCAAGACUACAAAGGUUGAUAAACUUAUGUUCUUAGCUAAAAACCUUGCGUAAGCAAAGCAUACAGCAGACAUACAAGAGUUGAUAUUUAUUUAUUCCAAGUUGCUUGUUUAUUUUAAGUUUUGUUAAAUUUUGUAAACCAAUGAUUGAUUGAUGCUGCUGAUGCUGCCGAUUUAAAAUGUGUACUGCUUUUGUUAACAUUUUUUUUUUAUUUUAUAAAAUAUUAAGUGACCUUUUUGUCACUUGUGUUAAUUCUCUAUUGUGGUAACGAAGCUUGUUUAUUAUUAAAAUUAAUAUCAUGAAA